AUUAAAGUUCAAAUACCUGAUGUUCAUUCUUUCGAUUUGAAGCUUAAGAGUCUGGGAAUAAAGGAAAUGCUAGGCAAACAAACAUUAAUAGGAAAUUUCUUUUUGGUUUGAUUUCUGUUGAGUCAAACGAACCCACUUCUAGCACCACUUCUUCACAUGAAGCUAUUUUACAAAGAUUUUCCCUAAGGUAGUUGAAGAUGGAUUCCCAAGCCCUAACAAUGUCACAAUCGAUUGAUCAUGCCGAUUUGGACUUUUUAUUGAAUACAGAAGAGAGAGAGAGAGAUAGAAAGAGAUAUCUCGAGUUAGAGAGAGAAAAGAGGAGCUACAAGAGGAGAGAGAGAACGGUGAUGCCAGCUGUUAGGGUUCGGGCCGUGAAACCGACUUUUCAUUUUUUCUAGUCUGGUGAAUCAGGAGAGCAAAUUCUUGAAGUUUUUAGGGUAUAUGUGGAACACAUUAUCAUGGGUUAUGGAAACUGCUGCUAUUAUUUCGAUCGCCAUUGCAAAUUGAGGAGGAAAGCCGCCUGACUGGCAGUCUUUUGUGGGUGUUAUCACUUUGCUCAUAAUCAACUCCACAUUUAUUUUCAUUGAAGCAAAGAACGCUGGUAAUGCAGCAGGUCUCAUGGCCAGUCUUGCCCCAGGUUCUUCAUGUACGUGACGUCAAGAAAGGUGAGUGGAUGCCUUUUUGCAGGAAUUAGAUUAUAGGGAAAAGUAACUGGUACAUUACAACCUUUCAAGUAUGAGGGUCGGCUUGAUGAUGGGAGCUUAGUUUCAAAAUUUGAGGAAGUUGAGUUCAUUGUGAAUGAUGAAACGGCAGCAUAACCCAAGAGUUUCGUGCAGAAUUUUGGCAAUUCCAAAAAAUUAUGGUGCAUAUGAGCCUUCUCUUAUGAUGGCAAAUCAAUUCUCCUUGGUGAAUAUGGGGAAAGGAAAGGGCACAAGUCAGUCUUCUUUUCACAUGGGCGAAUUCGAUGGAACGUCACACUUUUCAGGAGCGCCUUUGGAAAAUAACCACAUCCGCUCAACUUUGUAGAAGAGUUUCUUUUGCUUCACGGUUAAGACUCCAACAACAAAGUUUAAUGUAGAAGCAAAAGGAAGUCUCUCAUGAUAUGGCAGAAGCCGUCAUGCAGUUUGGCCACAUGAUACAGAUUUGACAGGUGAAACGUAAGUGAGCAGAGCCAAACUGCAUUGAAAAUGAAUCUACAGUUGGGAUUCAAGGAUAUGCAAUGAGAUUCAUGAGAUCUCCAGUUUAGACCACCUUUGGUGGCCUCUAUAUUCUCCAAUAGUUGUUUCCUCUGUUCAGUUUUUCAUUUUUGUUAUUAGUUCUAGAUUUGGUUGUGUUGAUGAUGGCUGGACUUAAAGUGAAAGAGAAGGUGCAUUGUGUGAUUUUAGAGAUGGCCCCACUAAUAUCUUGGUAACUCAAUAAGCUUGUAAUGUGUAUUUAAGAUUUUGAGUUAAACAAGUCAAACGAAAUGAGCUGAUGGGUUGAG
rnacentral:lncRNA from 1 species